rnacentral:rRNA from 1 species
CACGUAGGGGGCGAGCGUUGUCCGGAUUCAUUGGGCGUAAAGGGCGCGCAGGCGGCUCGGAAAGUCGGGUGUGAAAACUCGGGGCUCAACCCCGGGCGUGCAUCCGAUACUGCCGGGCUUGAGGCAGGUAGGGGAGAUCGGAAUUCCUGGUGUAGCGGUGGAAAUGACGCAGAUAUCAGGAGGAACACCGGUGGCGAAGGCGGAUCUCUGGGCCUGUCCUGACGCUGAGGCGCGAAAGCUAGGGGAGCAAACAGG